ACUCCUACGGGAGGCAGCAGUAGGGAAUCUUCCACAAUGGACGAAAGUCUGAUGGAGCAACGCCGCGUGAACGAUGAAGGCCUUCGGGUCGUAAAGUUCUGUUGUAAAGGGAAGAACAAGUGCCGCAGGCAAUGGCGGCACCUUGACGGUACCUUGCGAGAAAGCCACGGCUAACUACGUGCCAGCAGCCGCGGUAAUACGUAGGUGGCAAGCGUUGUCCGGAAUUAUUGGGCGUAAAGCGCGCGCAGGCGGCCUCUUAAGUCUGAUGUGAAACGCCCCCCGGCUCGAACCCGGGGGAGGGCCAUUGGAAACUGGGAGGCUUUGAGUAGUAGGAGAGAAGAGUGGAAUUCCAGUGUAGCGGUGAAAUGCAUAGAGA
rnacentral:rRNA from 1 species